UCAAAGUCAGUGGGCGGAACCACUGACGCAAACGGGCGGGACUAGUGCCAAUCUGGUGUUAUCGACUGCUUUGGCCUGAAGCGUAACACCUCCUACAUGACAUGAAUGGAUCAAGGAGGAAAGCUGGUUCUAUUCGAAAUAUGACCAAAAAGGGUUGUGAGUAAUUGGGACUAGUACUGUCAACAUUUCAAGUGAAAGGCUUAGAGUUUUAUCUUUAGGGAAAUGUAUUCGUAAAAUUAGCUUGUUGGCCAUGAAGUUUUAAAAGGAGUGGAUGCAUGUUGUCGAGAUACGUUGAGGAUGACAGCUGCCUCCAAGUUCUUCUUGGCUUCCUCGCGGCCUAUCCAGGGGAUCCGGGAACCAAAUCUCCUCCAUCAUCGUGUUAGUUGUUUGACACACUUUCUCACAGAAAUAAAAAAGGGAUACUGAGACCAAACCGGCCUACUGAUGUCCAUACAGACUAGCCCUACACAAGACAAUGUCUGUCACAUUGGUGCCAUGACCGAGUUGGACCUUCGCCCAACCGGGAUCUUUCUGGACAUCAUCUGCGUUGUGAUAAUCAACAAAGCCUGACUGCCCACAACACCUGGAUCAGAGAGCCAGUCAAAUGAAAUCUGUCAAGAAAACCGCAGAUAAACAAGGCCUGUAUCAUCAUUGUAGUCUAGUACUACACUUUUAUUGUACACGAAUACAGAACAUGACAUGCUUGUAUCAUUGGAAAAAAAAAGCUAACUAUACAAUCAGUCAAGCACUCUCAGACGCACUCACUUACUAUACAACUCACCACACACGUUAUCCAUUACAAUGUGUUCAUUCAGCUCUAACAUACCCACAUUUUUUAAUUAAAAUCUCAAGAACCUGAAUGCAGCGUAUAUGUGUCUCCAGGCUACAAUGGGUUAAAGCGCUGGAGGCCAGAAGGAAAGUAGAGUGAUUACACUCAUUCUCAAACUGGGCGCAAUGUGGACAGUAUUCCAAGUGUGCCUUCAAAUAAUAUUGGUCUGUGGGUUUUGUUGUUUAUUGGGUCAGAGGUGGGCCCCAAGGUUCAGUUACACCAUUCUUUGUUACACCAUGAUUUUCCUAAAUGUAUGUAUAUCCCAGUUCAGUCUUGUUUAUAUAAUUCUGCACAACUUGGUUUAUCUUUCUUCCCAUGUUUAACUGCAGUCAACCUGCCAUCCAAGCCGAGGCCAAACACAUCAUAGCACUGAGGUGGUCAACCAAGGUUGCAGAUAGGGAUGAGUUCCACGACGUGUCCACCAAGACCAGAGGAGGCUGCUGCGGACAGCUCCCCUGCGAGAAACCUUGCUACGCCCAGUAUAGGCACACAACUCUAAUUUCACUGCAUGUUUCAGUAUUUCUAUGCAUGCAACCUAUAAAUCCUUUAAAUCGUGCAAUUGAUGUAGACUUGUAAGCCAUCUUUAAGCAACUAAUACGUUAUUCUAACCUCACAUUGAUACACAUUUUGUGCACUUCAGAUCAAUUUCCUGUAUUUUGUUCUUGCUCUUUCCCUGCAGAAACACAAUUGAACAGAUUUAAUAAAUGUUCGUCUUUGUCAAUAAUUGUAUCUUCUUUUCAGCAUGAACUGAGCCAAGUUAACUUUCUAGUCAAAGUAUCUAUUGGAGGCAUAAAUAACAAGAGGAAGACUAGCCAUCAAUAAUUACAAUAUUUACAAGCAGUGAAAGAGGCACGUACUAUCCAAAUAUGCCACAUAUUUGUAACAGUGAAGAAGUUGUGAUGCUGUACAUGUUUACUCCAUCUACAGGCUGCUAUAGACUGUUAGUUUUCCACAAAGAAGCCUAGAGUCGAGACCUUUGUUCAAUCUUCUGACAUGCUCUUACUCUUGACAAAUGGGUACUAUAUCAGCUUUAUUGAAUCCUAAAAUUGUCCAGCACGUAUGAAUUGGACGUUGUAUCUUGGAGUAAAUAAGCUACUAUGCAGAUUUAAAGACCAAUGUGAGCUGAAAGAAUUUUUUCAUCCCUGUGCAAGAGGCCAGGAAGGUUUGUCAAAGGUUGGAGUAAGUCUCUUUUUUUUCGUGACUAGAUAUAUCGAUUAGUCCAGUGUUUCUCAACAGGGGUGCCGGGGAAAAGUGGCUGAUAAAUAAAUUAUGUAAUAUAAGAUAUAUUUGUCUAAAUUGAUAAGUUAAUGCUAGUCAGUGGAAUCUUUCAUCUGCCAUUUACGCACAAUAAAGUAAAUUUAGGUCACCCCAGUAAGCUGCAACUUCAAACGUAGGUCGUGUGACCAAAUGUGUUACUUUUCUAAGCUUGUGUGGUAUCGGAUGCGAUGCUUGUUGGUUUGGGGUGCCUUGAAAUUUUUCAUGAAUUGGAAGGGUGCCUCGCCUAAAAAAAGGCUGCGAAACACUGGUUCUAUGAAUACCAUCAAUACAAUAUAGCUGGUAUGCUACAACUGCUGAUAAUAAUUUGCCCCUGUAGGGCCUAGGGGCCUACAGUAUUUUCACUUCGAUAAACCCUUAACUGUCACUGUAAGGGUUAGAUAAUCGUUAUUGGUCAACUGUUAAACAAUUGAGACAUAUCUUGUUAUAUAAUAAUAAUAAUAACAACUUGGUUUUAUAUAGCGCCUUUCAAGGAUGGAUAAGUGUUUCGGUCACAGAGUCGGAGAGUGAGGGCCGGAGUCUGGAGAUGUUCUUGAGAUAGAAAAAGGCAGAUUUGGUGAUGUUUUUGAUGUGAGACUGGAAUGAGAGGGAAGGGUCAAGUUAUUAUGUGUAACAAUUUUGAGUAAUAGUGUCUACAAAAGGGAGUGUGUCUAUGUUCCCACAGCCCGUCCCACAUCACAAACACUGAAAACAAAAAAGGGGAAAGAAAAUAGACUGAAUUGUCCCGCAGGGCAAUGGUACUGUUCCACCCAAAAACCUUUCCCUAACCUCAUUGAAAUCGUGCCUAACAGUCAGUUAACACCAGCCAUACCUACCUCUAAACCACAAUGUAAUGACCUCUAACCAUGCUCUACUCAUAAUAGUAGAGAUGGACUUAACUAAACCACAACCAGGGUGGAAUCAUGCUUAAACCC